UUUUGCUUGCUACACUGAGUUGCUGUCGAGCGAGCAGAACCAGCAGAUUUACUUCGGUAAUGACGCUGGGGACGCGAGCGGCGGAUGGGUGAGUAACACGUGGGGAACCUGCCCCAUAGUCUAGGAUACCACUUGGAAACAGGUGCUAAUACCGGAUAAUAAAGCAGAUCGCAUGAUCAGCUUAUAAAAGGCGGCGUAAGCUGUCGCUAUGGGAUGGCCCCGCGGUGCAUUAGCUAGUUGGUAAGGUAACGGCUUACCAAGGCAAUGAUGCAUAGCCGAGUUGAGAGACUGAACGGCCACAUUGGGACUGAGACACGGCCCAAACUCCUACGGGAGGCAGCAGUAGGGAAUCUUCCACAAUGGACGCAAGUCUGAUGGAGCAACGCCGCGUGAGUGAAGAAGGUUUUCGGAUCGUAAAGCUCUGUUGUUGGUGAAGAAGGAUAGAGGUAGUAACUGGCCUUUAUUUGACGGUAAUCAACCAGAAAGUCACGGCUAACUACGUGCCAGCAGCCGCGGUAAUACGUAGGUGGCAAGCGUUGUCCGGAUUUAUUGGGCGUAAAGCGAGCGCAGGCGGAAGAAUAAGUCUGAUGUGAAAGCCCUCGGCUUAACCGAGGAAUUGCAUCGGAAACUGUUUUUCUUGAGUGCAGAAGAGGAGAGUGGAACUCCAUGUGUAGCGGUGGAAUGCGUAGAUAUAUGGAAGAACACCAGUGGCGAAGGCGGCUCUCUGGUCUGCAACUGACGCUGAGGCUCGAAAGCAUGGGUAGCGAACAGGGAUUAGAUACUCUGGUAGUCCAUGCCGUAAACGAUGAGUGCUAAGUGUUGGGAGGUUUCCCGCCUCUCAGUGCUGCAGCUAACGCAUAAGCACUCCCGCCUGGGGGAGUUACGAACCGCCAAGGUUGAACUCAAAGGAAUUUGACGGGGGCUCCGCACCAAGCGGUGGAGCAUUGUGGUUAAUUUCGAAGCAACGCGAAGAACCCUUACCAGGUCUUGAACAUCUAUGGCCUUCCUUAAAGAGAAUUAAGGAGAGUUCCUUUCCGGGACGCC
rnacentral:rRNA from 1 species